ACCUAUCGACAAUGAACUGUAUCAUCUGUUUGUUUAGUUGGUAAUAUCGAUAAGUUUGCACAAUCUGAAGCAACAGAGGAAUUCCUGCAGAUGAUGAACGACUUAUUUGAUAUUUUUAAUUCUAGAAAUUUACGACAAAAGUUUUAUAAACGUCCAAUAAAUCCAGAUAAUUACGAAUCAGUCCGUGGUCUAUUCUUACUAUGUCUAUGAUUACGAUCCACUACGCCAUGAGCUGUAGCUCGUAAGACAGCUUUUUGUGGAUCCACAACAAUGAUCUCCCGAAAACAUUGGAGAUAUUAACGGAUUUAAACGCCAGAGUGGAGAAACUAGGAAACGAAUUACAAACACAAAUUAAACUGUGUAAUAAACUAACCGAGGAAUGCGAAGACUACAAAAGCAAAAUAAGACGCAUUUCAGAUAUGAGAAUACAGUCGAGCCGAUUACCGAUUUAGUAAAGGAUUAUUGACAAACGACAGUCCUCCGAGACUGCAUUACAUCCAGGAACUGACCGGGAAGGAGAUGCAAAUGUCAUCGUCGAGGAAAAAGAUUCUGGAAUUGGAAGCGAUGUUGAGGGAGUGACAGAGAGAGAUGCUUCACAUGAAGGAGCAGCAACAAGAGGAGACUAAACUGUUGGAGGCACGUAUCAUCAGGUUGAAAGCGUGUAAGUCGAGAGAAGGUGCCAAUUUGGAACACUUGAAGAAUGUAUUCAUAAAUUACUUAAGGGGGGAGCCUGCUUUAGAACGCUGAAAAUAAGGUAUAAUUUUACGAAUUGUUUUUG